rnacentral:misc_RNA from 1 species
GUAUUUAAAUGCAUUAAAUUGCAAAAUAUUUACAUUCAAAGACUGACAUCAUGUUUGUAAUAAAAGACACAGAGAGACCCAGGCCACCGUCAAGCAACCUUUUUAAUGAGCCAAUCUAUGAGCAGUGCACAAAGGUGUGUGGAUGAAUAAUAGACAAGGUGUGCACAUGCCCAAAAGGCCAGCGACAACCUUACCAUUUAAAUUCAUUAAUGAUCCUUCCGCAGGUUCACCUACGGAAA